rnacentral:rRNA from 1 species
UACGUAGGGUGCGAGCGUUGUCCGGAAUUAUUGGGCGUAAAGAGCUCGUAGGCGGCUUGUCGCGUCGAAUGUGAAAUCUCAGGGCUCAACUCUGACAUUGCAUUCGAUACGGGCAGGCUAGAGUUCGGUAGGGGAGACUGGAAUUCCUGGUGUAGCGGUGAAAUGCGCAGAUAUCAGGAGGAACACCGAUGGCGAAGGCAGGUCUCUGGGCCGAUACUGACGCUGAGAAGCGAAAGCGUGGGGAGCGAACAGG